GCAGCCAGGUCCCGGGAAGCCGGGAGAGCUGACUGAUGAACUUGAGGCGGUCCCUGCUCGGCUUCACCUUUUGCACCUGUUACCUGGCUUCUCACCUCACCAACAAGGUGAGCGGACGGGCGGGCGUGACUGCGCGUGGGCUGCGAGCCGUGCGGUCGGCGUCCCAGAAGCUGCCCUGGGCAGGCUGGUCUGGAUGGGAAUGUCGAGGAAACAGCCUUUGAGAGGAAGCACUCUGAGUCCACUUCCCGGAACUUUGACUUGGACUAGGAGGAUCCUCUUCUAGAGGAGGCGGGAGAUGUGGCCUGGAGGCGUGCACAUAGCCCGGGGCUCCAUCUGCAGCACUCACCUAAACUCUCAAACCUUGGGAGGCGGAAGUAGGAGAAUCCGGGUUCAAGGUCAUUUUCAGCUACUUCAAGAGUUUGAGGCCAGCUUGAGAUACUUGAAACUGUGUCUCGAGUAAACGAAUACAAAUAUACCCAAAUAAACAGAAAACAAG
rnacentral:lncRNA from 1 species